rnacentral:rRNA from 1 species
UACGGAGGGUGCAAGCGUUAUCCGGAUUCACUGGGUUUAAAGGGAGCGCAGGCGGAUUUGUAAGUCAGUGGUGAAAGGCUUAAGCUUAACUUGGGAACUGCCAUUGAUACUAUAAGUCUUGAAUGUUGUUGAGGUUUGCGGAAUGGGUCAUGUAGCGGUGAAAUGCAUAGAUAUGACCCGGAACACCUAUUGCGAAGGCAGCAGGCUAAACAAAUAUUGACGCUGAGGCUCGAAAGCGCGGGGAUCAAACAGG